AUUGAACGCUGGCGGCAGGCCUAACACAUGCAAGUCGAGCGAGCGGCGGACGGGUGAGUAAUGUAUGGGGACUGCCCGAUAGCGGGGGAUAACUACUGGAAACGGUAGCUAAUACCGCAUACUAUCGGAUAACCCCUAUGGGAUUAGCUAGGUGGUGGGGUAAUGUCUCACCAAGGCGACGAGCCCUAGCUGGUCUGAGAGGAUGAUCAGCCACACUGGGACGGAGCCACGGCCCGGACUCCUACGGAGGCGGGAGGGGGGAAUAGUGCACAAGGGGCGCAAGGCUGAUGCAGCCAAGCCGCGUGUAUGAAGGGGGCCGUAGGGUUGUAAAGUACUUUCAGCGGGGUGGCGUUACCCGCAGAAGAAGGACCGGCUAACUCCGUGCCAGCCGCCGCGGUAAUAC
rnacentral:rRNA from 1 species